UACGUAGGGUGCGAGCGUUAAUCGGAAUUACUGGGCGUAAAGCGUGCGCAGGCGGUUCGUUAUGUCCGAUGUGAAAGCCCCGAGCUUAACUUGGGAAUGGCAUUGGAAACUGGCGGGCUGGAGUGCGGCAGAGGGGGGUGGAAUUCCACGUGUAGCAGUGAAAUGCGUAGAGAUGUGGAGGAACACCGAUGGCGAAGGCAGCCCCCUGGGCCGACACUGACGCUAAGGCACGAAAGCGUGGGGAGCAAACAGG
rnacentral:rRNA from 1 species